GCACUGCUGAGGAGUUCCAGUACUAGGACGAAACGGCCGUUCAGUGC
rfam:Schistosoma haematobium scaffold2308_2, whole genome shotgun sequence.